rnacentral:rRNA from 1 species
GACGAACGCUGGCGGCGUGCUUAACACAUGCAAGUCGAACGGAAAGGCCCUGCUCUUGUGGGGUGCUCGAGUGGCGAACGGGUGAGUAACACGUGAGUAACCUGCCCUUGACUUUGGGAUAACUUCAGGAAACUGGGGCUAAUACCGGAUAGGAGCUCCUGCUGCAUGGUGGGGGUUGGAAAGUUUCGGCGGUUGGGGAUGGACUCGCGGCUUAUCAGCUUGUUGGUGGGGUAGUGGCUUACCAAGGCUUUGACGGGUAGCCGGCCUGAGAGGGUGACCGGCCACAUUGGGACUGAGAUACGGCCCAGACUCCUACGGGAGGCAGCAGUGGGGAAUAUUGCACAAUGGGCGGAAGCCUGAUGCAGCAGCGCCGCGUGCGGGAUGACGGCCUUCGGGUUGUAAACCGCUUUCGCCUGUGACGAAGCGUGAGUGACGGUAAUGGGUAAAGAAGCACCGGCUAACUACGUG